rnacentral:rRNA from 1 species
GACGAACGCUGGCGGCGUGCUUAACACAUGCAAGUCGAACGGAGAAGGAGGGAGCUUGCUCCGUCCGGAUCAGUGGCGAACGGGUGAGUAACAUGAGAGCAAUCUGCCCCGAACUCUGGGAUAAGCGUGGGAAACGACGUCUAAUACCGGAUACGACGCGGGUGGGCGGCCUCGCCGCGCGGAAAGAACUUCGGUUGGGGAGGAGCUCGCGGCCUAUCAGCGUGUUGGGGAGGUAGCGGCACACCAGGGCGGCGACGGGUAGCCGGCCUGAGAGGGUGACCGGCCACACUGGGACUGAGACACGGCCCAGACUCCUCCGGGAGGCAGCAGUGGGGAAUAUUGCACAAUGGGCGCAAGCCUGAUGCAGCAACGCCGCGUGCGGGACGACGGCCUUCGGGUUGUAAACCUCUUUUGCCAGGGAAGAAGCUAGAGUGACGGUACCUGCAGAAAAAGCACCGGCUAACUACGUG